rnacentral:rRNA from 1 species
CACUCCUACGGGAGGCAGCAGUGGGGAAUUUUGGACAAUGGGCGAAAGCCUGAUCCAGCAAUGCCGCGUGAGUGAAGAAGGCCUUCGGGUUGUAAAGCUCUUUUGUCAGGGAAGAAACGGUGAAAGCUAAUAUCUUUUGCUAAUGACGGUACCUGAAGAAUAAGCACCGGCUAACUACGUGCCAGCAGCCGCGGUAAUACGUAGGGUGCAAGCGUUAAUCGGAAUUACUGGGCGUAAAGCGUGCGCAGGCGGUUUUGUAAGUCUGAUGUGAAAUCCCCGGGCUCAACCUGGGAAUUGCAUUGGAGACUGCAAGGCUAGAAUCUGGCAGAGGGGGGUAGAAUUCCACGUGUAGCAGUGAAAUGCGUAGAUAUGUGGAGGAACACCGAUGGCGAAGGCAGCCCCCUGGGUCAAGAUUGACGCUCAUGCACGAAAGCGUGGGGAGCAAACAGGAUUAGAAACCCCAGUAGUCCCA